GAGAAGAGGCCAACACCCAUCUCACUACAGCAUCCUUUCAAGGAUCUGACAGCCUACACAAGGGAGCACACAGCAGGGAGACUGGAGCUCAGUGAUCCUUAAUGUCCCUUCUAACCUAAGCCCUUCUAUGAUAUCUUUGUUGCUGAUGUCGCUUAACUUUCAGUGUCUCAGAUCCCAACCUUGCUCCCUAAGGGGUGAAUUGCUGCCCACAGACUCUAGAUGGCCCACAGACCAACAAUUUCAUGUGCUUGAAACAAAGUCAUGGAAGCGCUUUAUCUGCCUGCAACCAUCCUGUUCUUGACAUCCUACACCAUCCAUGCUGCAAGAUACAGGAUAUCUUCUUGGUGGAGGCUCUCUGGGCUGAGAAGAACUCCUGGCUAUUCCUAUUUCAGGAGUAGGAAGCAAGUGUAGAAUAAGGAUUUGAAUGAAAACCUGGGAGCCUAACUCACCCUUGCAGACUAUGAGUGGUGGCAUUGUGCCAAGCAUAAGCUGGGUCCUUCCUGUUUAUUUUUGAAUCUGAAGGCCACCACGAUAAUGCCAGUUACUUAAAAGAAAAGUUUGUCUCCCCAUCCUGCUAAUUAACAGCCUCUGAGAGGCACCCAGAACCCAUCUCUGGGGCCUGGAGUGCUGCAAAAGCAUGUAAAGGUUAAUUGAAGGCAAUGGGAAAACAAGAAUUCAAACUUUAACCUUCUUGGUCUGCCCUUGUUAUGCUAACAGCAUGGUGCAGGCAGACUUAAUGACUGCUCAUUACCCUGCUACCUAAUUAACCUUCUGCUCUAAAACACAGAGAGCCCAAACAGGGAUCUUGCUGCCCAGAGCCCUUUCUGUCGGCAUCCCCACGGGUUAGGGAAGAUAUGGCAAAGUUCAGAUCUGCUUGGUCAGUGUCUCUUCAGCUUUUGUUAUAGGAAUUAAGUGGUUUUUCAUGAUACCACAUUCUGCAGUAGUGCACCUGAACACCUUGUUUUGCAUCAGCUCUCUUCUAGGAGCAGCUGGGAGCUUUGGGGCAAAAUAAGCAAAUGAGCCAAAGCAUCUCAGUGGGCCACAGCCAUGUGAUGGGAAGGAAAAAUACCAAAGCCAGAGUAUAAGUGAAAUAAUGUCACCCCAAGCCCUCCUUGAAAGUGCAGUGGUCUGUAAGGCUUAUCUCAGCUUUGUUGGCAGGGCAUGACAUCUUGCUUUGAUGUGUCAAUGAACUUGGAGAGAAGAAAGGACUUUUUGGAAUGCAUUAAUUCUUUCUCCAGAACACUUACCCUGAGUUUAACUUCUUUCAGAGCCGCUGCUUUGCUCAUAUCCUGCCUUGUCUGUGCAGAGAGAUAUGAGGUCAUUGGCACAGAUGGAUUUGGACUGCUCUAAGUCCUGGUGUCUGUACGAAGCUGCUUUUCUCUGGUGUCCUGUCAUGGCAUGGAUGUCUCUCAUAUCACAUAAUAAUUGAGACUGGAAGAGAUCUCUGGAGGCAAUCUGGUCCAGGCUCGUGCUCAGCCAGGGUCUCCUGGGUGGCUGCCCACAACCCAGUUUUAGCUAUAAGAGCACUGAAAUUUGCCUGGGAUUUGCACUUUCUCUAGCUGGAAGAGGAAUGACUAAUGCCUGGCCAAAGCCUGAGUGCCUUUCUCCAAGUGGGUGGCUGAACUUAGGAUCAACCUCCAUUACUGGGAGGGGAGGCUGACUCUCAUGAGGAGGAGUAUGCUACCUUCUGGCUAUUGGAGCUGCUAAGUGGGCUGAAAACAUCUGAUUUUUGACAAAGGAUCCCGAUGUUUCUGAAGUCCUGUGUGAGCUCACUGCUCUCUGAGCCACAAAGGGACAUGAAGUCAGAUCCCACUGCCCUUCCUGAGAGAUUACGGCUGAAAAUAAGGGGACGUGAGCAGACCCCAACCCUGGGACUCAUCCUGAAGGCCUUCAGAAGAACUGUUGAUUUUAAAAAGAAGAUGACGGGACGCUGAGGACGGAGCUGUGCCCCAUUCCCCUUUGCCCACACAAGCCAGGAAGAGGUUGCGACAAAAGCCCUGUCAGACCCCUCACCGCCGCUGCCCUGGCUCUGAGCACCCCCAUAUCUCCCCCCUCCCCACCCUCC